rnacentral:tRNA from 1 species
GCCGAUAUAGUUCAGUGGCAGAACAAUGCUUUCGUAAAGCAUAGACGCGGGUUCGAUUCCCGCCUUCGGCUCCA